rnacentral:rRNA from 1 species
AGUGAACGCUGGCGGUAGGCCUAACACAUGCAAGUCGAACGGCAGCACAGUAAGAGCUUGCUCUUACGGGUGGCGAGUGGCGGACGGGUGAGGAAUACAUCGGAAUCUACUUUUUCGUGGGGGAUAACGUAGGGAAACUUACGCUAAUACCGCAUACGACCUACGGGUGAAAGCAGGGGAUCUUCGGACCUUGCGCGAUUGAAUGAGCCGAUGUCGGAUUAGCUAGUUGGCGGGGUAAAGGCCCACCAAGGCGACGAUCCGUAGCUGGUCUGAGAGGAUGAUCAGCCACACUGGAACUGAGACACGGUCCAGACUCCUACGGGAGGCAGCAGCGGGGAAUAUUGGGCAAUGGGCGCAAGCCUGAUCCAGCCAUACCGCGUGGGUGAAGAAGGCCUUCGGGUUGUAAAGCCCUUUUGUUGGGAAAGAAAAGCAGCAGGUUAAUACCCCGCUGUUCUGACGGUACCCAAAGAAUAAGCACCGGCUAACUUCGUG